GGUAUAGCUGUCUUUUCAAGAAUGUCAUGUACAUGGAAUCAUAGAGCUUCUAGCCUCUGCGGCCAGCCUCUCUCACUCAGCCCAGUGUUACUGAGCAUCCUCCACGUCGUCUGAUGGACGCUUCGUUCCUUUCUGCUGCCGAGUGGUGCUCCAUUGUGUUCACCUUCCAAUUUGUUAUCCUUUCACAGGGACAUAUGUGUUGUUUCUGGGUUUAGCGAUUAUAUAUAUUCAUGUACAGGUUUUCCAUGUGAACAUUAAUUCCCGUUCCUCUUGAAUAAAUGCUCAGGAGCGGGAUGGCUGGGUCACGUGAAAGCCUGUCUUUAACUUUAUAGGAAACUUCCAACUCUCUUCCAGAGUGGCUGCCCCGUCUGGUGUGCCACCAGCAGUGUACGGGUCUAGCCACUGUUCACCCUCACGAGCACUGGGUGUUGUCUGGUUAUUUUUUAAGCCAUUCUGAUACAUAUGUAGUGGUAUCUCAUUGUAGUUUGAAGUUGCAUUUCCCAAAUGGGUAGAGAUGUUGAGUACCUUCUCCUGUGCUUAUUUGCUAUUGCUCUGACAGUUGGGUAAGUUUUGCUGUCAACUUCUGCCCUUAGCACUAACCUGAGCUGGCGGGGCAUCACCCCGUGCCCGGCACUGCCCUAGAGAAACUGUAGGUGGGAAUUGCUCAGAAGGUUCAGAGGACCCCAGUAAUAGCAAAACCUGGGAAUGACCAGCCAUCUUCCAGUAGAAGAGUGGAUUGACAAGUUGUGGCCUGUUCCCAAAAUGGAAUUUGUCCAGUACUAGGAAUGAGUGAAUUAUAGAUAUAUCCAGCAAUUUGGGAGAAUCUUAGAAAUAUAUUGAGUUUCAAAAACAAGUCACGGGCCAAAAAAAACAAGUCCCAGAAGGCUGCAUACACAGUGUUAAGACCAUUUGUUUUUUAAACAAGGUCUUAUUUAUUUGUUUACUUAUGGAUGCAUUGGGUCUUCGUUGCUGCACAUGGGCUUUCUCGAAUCGUGGCGAGCGGGGGCUACUCUUUGUUGCGGUGCGCGGGCUUCUCAUUGCUGUGGCUUCUCGUUGCGGAGCACAGGCUCUAGGCGCACGGGCUUCAGUAGUUGUGGCACACGGGCUCUAGAGCACAGGCUCAGUAGUUAUGGCACAUGGGCUUAGUUGCUCCGUGGCAUGUGGGAUCUUCCCGGACUAGGGCUCAAACCGGUGCAUUGGCAGGCGGAGUCUUUUUUUUUGGGCGGUACGCGGGCCUCUCACUGCUGUGGCCCCUCCCGUCACGGAGCACAGGCUCCGGAUGUGCAGGCUCAGCGGCCAUGGCUCACGGGCCCAGCCGCUCUGCGGCAUGUGGGAUCUUCCCGGACCGGGGCACGAACCCGUGUCCCCUGAAUCGGCAGGCAGACUCUCAACCACUGUGCCACCAGGGAAGCCCAACAGGUGGAUUCUUAACCACUGUGCCACCAGGGAAGCCCAAGACAAUUUUUUUAAGCUCAAAAAAUUAAAACUAAGUAGUGUUUAGGGAGAAACAUAUGAGGUAAAUUUCUUUAAGCAAGGGAUUGUAAUAAACAUUGCUUCAGGGUAAUGUAUAUGGGGAGAAUGCAGGAAGUUUCAAAAUUAUUGGUAAUUUUCUAGUUUUUAAAUUGAAGGAUGGGAUCAUGGUGUUUAUUUUAUCAUGAUGCAUCAUGACUUAUAUGUGCCAUAUCUUCCUUUCUGUGUAUCAAAUAUUAUAUAAAAUAUUUAAAACAGAACCAAGGGACUUCCCUGGUGGCUCAGUGGAUAAGACUCUGCACUCCCAGUGCAGGGGGCCCGGGUUCGCUCCCUGGUCAGGGAACUAGACCCCACAUGCGUGCUGCAACUAAGAGCUUGCAUGCCACAAAUGAGGAUCUCACGUGCUGCAACUAAGGAGCCCGCCUGCUGCAACUAAGACCUGGCGCAACCAAGAAAGGAAGGAAGGAAGGGAGGGAGGGGGAUU
ensembl:lncRNA